ACAUCCAGAGAAUUUAGCAGAGAUGCUUUAGUGCCUUCGGGAACUCUGAGACAGGUGCUGCAUGGCUGUCGUCAGCUCGUGUUGUGAAAUGUUGGGUUAAGUCCCGCAACGAGCGCAACCCUUAUCCUUUGUUGCCAGCACGUAAUGGUGGGAACUCAAAGGAGACUGCCGGUGAUAAACCGGAGGAAGGUGGGGAUGACGUCAAGUCAUCAUGGCCCUUACGAGUAGGGCUACACACGUGCUACAAUGGCGCAUACAAAGAGAAGCGGACCUCGCGAGAGCAAGCGGACCUCAUAAAGUGCGUCGUAGUCCGGAUUGGAGUCUGCAACUCGACUCCAUGAAGUCGGAAUCGCUAGUAAUCGUAAAUCAGAAUGUUACGGUGAAUACGUUCCCGGGCCUUGUACACACCGCCCGUCACACCAUGGGAGUGGGUUGCAAAAGAAGUAGAUAGCUUAACCUUCGGGAGGGCGUUUACCACUUUGUGAUUCAUGACUGGGGUGAAGUCGUAACAAGGUAAGCGUAGUGCU
rnacentral:rRNA from 1 species